UUAGGAGUUCUACUUAGAGGUUUGAGCCAAGGUGGAGAUUGUUGAUUAUUGGCUCAAACAAUAGUCAAAAGUGAAACAAUACUUUCGGCUACUUUUGUGGUAGUGAGUGUUGGUUGACAUGCUGCAUGUGGGAGACAAACAAAAAUGGAUGCACUUAUGCUAAUUCUUUUGACUUGAUGGGAGGCCUUUGACCAUUGGUUUCUUUGAGGAGCCACUUUCUUUGGCUUUAAAAGGAGAAGCAGGAGCAGCCCGUAAUAUAUGAGAGGAAAAAGAGCAAGAAGCCAUUCGGUAGAGAAAAGAAUUUUCUCAAAUUGUUUUGCUUUGUAUUUUUUGUUUUUUCCCUUCCUAUUGUAAGUGAGUGAGCUUGGGUUAUUCGGGUCUUUGGGAAAUUGAGUGAUAAACACUAUUGUAUGUUCUCAUUGAUUAUAGUGGAAUACUCCGUGGUCUCCAAACUGGAUGUAGGCAUUGCCGAACCAGUAUAAAUCUUGGAGGUGAAGAUUGAGGUCAGAAAAUUGCUGCGGCGGUGUACCUCAAAAAUUUCGCCAGGCGAAAUGUGGAAUGCGAGAAUCCGAAUUCGAAAUCAAACGUCGGUAAGGAGUUCAAGGACCAUCUGUUGCGAACAAUCGGUUGUCAAAAUUUUGGUUCAAGUGGUACGCAUUUUCCCAAGUGCAAGAGCAUUUUUCAGUACACCCCCGUACCUCUCGGAUUCGGAUUUAACGUUGUUGUCUUUUGCCCCUAUGGAAAUUUGUAAACUUAACGUUGUUGUCUUUUGCCCCUAGGGAAAGAAAAUGAAGUCGUUCGACUAAUUUUCGUAGAUGAUGGCGUUGUAAUUAUCUCUCUGUUUCGAUGUGAAAAAAAUGAGUGGAAUGAGUUCUUUCGUGAUAAAUGCAAAAUAUGAAUCCCAGAUAUUUGCUGACUCUAGUCAGAUGUUCACAAGCACUGGAUUCUCUUUUGGAUAGGCCCUAAAAGGAGAAGGAAGGCUGGAAUGCCAACAGGCAUUUAUUAUUGAAUUGAAUUCACCCGACCUGAUAGUACCCAUUUUUGAAACGUCCAGUGUCAAAGUCACUGAAUGGGUAAGUCACCAAUAUCUAAAACGGAUUAUGUAAUGUACUUUAUCUGCUGGAUUACGGGUGGGCAUUUUACCAGAGGUUUCUAUUGUAUCAAUCUACCCUUGUGUGAUUCCUGUUGAAGCAUGUACUCGAGGGUGGGUGCAGGGCGGACGAUUUCAAGGCAGAAGAUCAUCAAGAUUUUGUGAUCCGCUGCCAAGCUUAUACUUUUUAAAACCUAUUCCCGAUACUAAGUAGCAGCAAAAAAUUUGUAUCCAUUUUUCAUGAUAUUAUGCAUGGAUUAGAUAUAUCA